UUCACUUUCUUUUCUGAUUUAGUUUGCACUCAUUGAGUUUUAUCUUCCCCUUUAGAUUCAAUUUCUUUUCUUUUCUUUUAUUGUUGUUCCACAGUCCUUUCAUUGUUAUUGAUUAUUUGUACAUACUUGAUUUUACACCUUCUUCAUCACUUUUCAAAUAGAUAUGACGAAAAUUAUUACUCCAUCUCAUGUGGAGAUUACUUUCUGCGAAAUAAUUCCCCUGUUUUCUAACUUAACACAUGUAAUUCUUUUGACAACUGGAAAAUCUUCCUGUUAAUCUACACUUUGUAAAGUUGUAUCAUCCUUAAGGUUUUUCUCCUUCUUCUUCUUCUUCUUCUUCUUCUUCUUCUUCUUCCUUUUCUUCCCACUUUGCACUUUACACUUAGGUGGAUUAUCCUGGCAAGUUCAGGUAAGCUUCUACCUAGGAGAUAAUGACCAAGGAAAACUGCAUUUUUCAUUAACAAAAAAAUUUGGCACAAAUAUUAUUUCUUUUAAACAUUGUUUCUUACUAUAUAUGAAAAACGUUUUUUUGAUAAAGACUAUAUAUGAAGAACUUUAAGAAACAAUCAAUCGUCCUACUAACCAUAGAGUUUUUAAUUUUACACACCAGCUGGUAUCAAGAUGUGUCUGCUACUGUACAUAUGCUACUGACUGUGAAUGACAUCUGCUGGACAUGUUAUUUUGCUAAAAGUAUUUGGAAGUAUUAUAGUAGCCCUGCAGAACUCUUUUAUAUAACCUUUUGUCAAUAUGAUUAUUUUAGUGUUCAGCUACGUCUAUAAUACAAAAUACUGUUGAGCUAAUUGUGACACUUGCAGCUAGUGUGCUUCAUGAUAUACAGGUGUUUUCAUCACAAAUCGAUUCCUAAAGUUAUGUCAAUGGCUAAUUUAUUUUACUGUUAUUAUAGUUUCUUUGAUUGCUUACUAUAUUCUUCUUGUUAUAUGGUUUCUGCAUAUUAUGACAUCUUGAUCAUUAACAACCUUUCCUAUGUGUUGGAUUCACUUUCACUUAAUGGUAAGUGAAUGUGUUCUACACUGCAAAACAAUUGUCUCUGAUUGUUACAUCAGAUAGCCAUAUUUUCUUCUGUUCUUAUCAUUCUAUAGUUGGAACAAUACAAGUUACUUGACUAAUCCUUGUUUUCCUAAAAUCUGGUAAUAACUGUUGGGUUCAUUUACGCACAGUAGACAGCUGGACUGCCUAAUGUCAGCGAAGCCCAGGAAGAUCAACAAACCAUUCGGAUCUUCAUGCUAACAUAAAAGAACAAAUAAUAGUUCAGUCCUUUUCACAAGGAGAUAUCUCUAUCUACCUUUUUCCAGUUUUGCCCGAUGGUAUUACCAGAAAAUUAUAUGCGAGCAAUUUCACUUGAUAUGCAAUUCAUAUUCCUUGGUAUAAAUUGUGUUUAUGUAAGAUGGUAUUUUUUACUUUUGAGUAGAGACAAAAAAACAGUAAAAUCUGGAGUUAUUUUCGAUGUGCCUUCUGUUUUUUAAACUUUUCAUCAUGUAAAUAUAGUUAUUAUAGGUGGUUUUGGACAAGCACAUGAUGAUAAUUCUGCUUCUGGGUAAACAAUGAGCUAUGACAUAUUUUAAAGUUCUUUCCCAUGGUAUUCAAUUCAGCUCGCUUUCUCUUCUAUAUCUUUCUUUGAUUUGCUCUACUUCUUCGACUUUCUUGCUGCCAUGAUUUGCUUUAAUAACUUUUGGACUGCCUUUUGAUUCAUACUAUAUCGAUUUCAUAUUUGCCUUUUUGGUUUUCUAAUGUGUUUCAUUUUUGUUAUUACGAAUUGACUUUUACAAUUUCGGUCAUUAACUGUUUGUUCUUGGAAAAAGCUACAGUAGUUAAUAGAUUUUUCUCUCAUAAUCUUAAUGUUUCGAACUUUACUAGAGGUUAUAUAUCAUCACACAGAUGAAAAUAGAACGAAGUUCAUAGAUACUCAAAAGAUAGAUAUAGUAAUGAAAUUCUACAGUUUAAAUUCUCAGGCCAUAAUGCGAAUUCUGCUUUUGAAAAGAUUAAUGUGUUAAAAAUUCUCAGCCCUCAAUCUACAGUGACUUUGCUUGCCAUUUGGCAUUUGAAGAUGUUUCAUUGUAAGGUACUCCGGACCUUAAGUUUAUUUAUAUUAUAUACAUAAAUGAAUGACUAACCAUUUAUGUAGUACAAAUGUGACAACCCUUCGGCCUAUUCAUGGAGGUACAUAUAUAGAUCUUAUACAAUAUUUGGGACCUUCAUGUACCAUACAAGUUGUCUAGCUCUGUUUCUGCUGUUCUAAAAGGAUAAUGUGUUUUAUUUUUGAGCCUUAGGUUUUCCUUGGUAGCCUUCACUUCUGUAAGAUGAAUAUUUUUAUUUUUAGUUCUUCGUACAAAAGAGUUGAGCGGUUUAAUUUUGAUUAAAAAUAUUGUUCAGCUUGCAUGACCUUCUAAUGAGAAUCCUUCAACUGUUGAACAUGACUAAGGACUGUGCAUUAUAAAAAUAGUGCUUAAAGCCUGAUAUGCAUAUAUGAUUAUACAGAAAUUUCUAUAUAUUUGAGCUGCUUCUCCGUGGGCCUCAAAAUGUACGUCCACCACAUAAAUUAACAUUUGAAAAACUACAAUAGGAUAAUAGUAUGCUAAAAUUUGUGUCUACAGAACUCCAAAGUUAGGAUGUUGCAUAGAUCAUACAGUUUUUAUAUUACUUCUUUUUGGUUUUAUCAUAACCAACUAACCGAAAGCACCAAACCUUCAUGUCCAUCGCUUGAAAUCUCUAUGAAGCAUGAUGAUUGACAUGACUUCGUAUGCAUUGCUGAUAUUUAGCUUCUUAUCUAAGAAUAUAUAUUAUAUAAAUGUUAAUCUUUAAUAUUGAAGCAAGGACAUGAUUAUUAAACCAGAUUAAAAUGAGAAUGGGACAUUAUUAGAUAGUUACUGUCUCUUUUUCUCUCCAAACAUGCUUCCAUUAUGCGACAUUAUUUGAUAGCUACUGUAUGCUUUUCUCUAUAAACUUGUUGUCAUUCUCAUAUAUUUCUUCUCCUCUAGGUACAAAGUUGCUUUUCAAUGUUUCGUCUAGCCAGGCUUCUUUCUGGGUUACUUGAUGGAGAAAUUUAUCAACUAAGCUACCUAGAAAAAAAAUUAUCUUUGUUUUGCUCUUUUUUUGACUGUUGCUUUACCCUUUGUUUGACGUGGAUUUUUUAUAGUCGCGUGACCACUUUUCAGUAUCAUAGGUUUCCCGUUUGUAAGGACUGAAUGUAUUCUCGCUCUCUUCAUGAUGCAGGAAGCCCCUCUGAAAAGCUUAUGACGUAACCUUCAAGGACAGUCUGACGGUAGAUAUACUUUAAAGUUGACCCAGAACCUGUGUGAAGGUUUGGCUUGCGAACGAACUAGCUCUUCCAGCAUCGAGUGUUGUUAACCGUGGAAUCAACGUCCAUCAACAAAUAAAAGCUCCCACUGAAGGGAAAAUGUCGACUUUGUACGCUUCAGAUUAUCUUCGCUUCAUUAUGUUUGUUUUCCUUUAUCGGAAAAAUCAUGACAUAUCAGUUUAUUACCUAAAAUAUUCAUCUAGCUCAACAUACUUGCUUGCUUUCACAA